UGUGGUCCCGAUGCCGUUGUAUAAUGUUUCGAUUGUAAUAGUGGCGUGUUCCGCAUUGGAGGGGCGCUACAGUCUAUGGUCGUUAGCCCCGGUGCUACUGUAUAAUAGUCUAGUGGUCUUGUUCGUGAGGGUACCGCACGGCCUGGGAUGUGUGUGUGUGCCCGCUAGCUACCGUACAGAUAGUCCCAUGGACUACAAGGAGACACGUGGUCACUAUACUGUUGUAUAAUAUUUCGAUUGUAAUUCAUCUUUAUAUAAAUAUAUAUAUUCAAUCACUCUUUUAGUAUAAAACAUACACUGACGCUGUGUUUUUAUUAAUUAGCAGAUCAUGGAUAAUAUAAAUAUUGGUAACACCGAAAAUAUGCCUCCAUCAGCUGCUGUAUGUUCCGGUAGUGAGUAUUAAAUAAUUAUAGUAAUGAUGAUAUGGGCUAAUAGUGUUUUUGUCACGGACUAUAUGUAUGAUUUAUCGUGUUUGUAGACAGGCUGAAACGUAGGCGUCCUCCUCCAGGCGUAAAGACAUGCGCACCAACGCCGUUUGACUCCGCCCCACCGGUCAAUGACGCUGCAUCAGAACUAGAUGCGGCCAUAGCUGUUAUUACCGGGGAUGUCACUUUCAAGACACCUAUGAGAUCUGCCUGUGUUAAACUAUUGACACAUCCUGUUGUAUACAGUCAGGACAUCGGUGCACAGCUAUCAGAGGCUGUAAAGAUCCCUUUGAGACAUGUGGGUGGUAAAAUAUUGACACAUCCUGUAGCAUACCGUCAGGACAUUGGUGCACAGCUAUCAGAUAUGUGUUUUCUCAGAGGAUUUUCAGUGCAGACCAGUCCUAGCAUCAGCCAUCCCCUCAUCAGAUGAUGAACCCCUGAGCUGUGCUCAGUUGUAUACACC